rnacentral:rRNA from 1 species
GACGAACGCUGGCGGCGUGCUUAACACAUGCAAGUCGAACGAUGAACCCGGAGCUUGCUCCGGUGGAUUAGUGGCGAACGGGUGAGUAACACGUGAGUAACCUGCCCUUGACUCUGGGAUAACUGCGGGAAACUGUAGCUAAUACCGGAUACGACCCUCGGCGGCAUCGCCAGGGGGUGGAAAGAAUUUCGGUCAAGGAUGGACUCGCGGCCUAUCAGCUAGUUGGUGAGGUAACGGCUCACCAAGGCGACGACGGGUAGCCGGCCUGAGGGGGUGUCCGGCCACCCCGUGCCUCGGAAGGUGCCAAGCCGCCGACGCGAGGCAGCAGCGGGGAAUUAUGCACUGUGGGGGCAAGCCCGGUGCAGCAACGCAGCGUGGGGGGUCACGGGCGUCGGGUUGGAAACUUCUUUUCGCAGGGAAGGAGGGAAAGUGUGGGUACCUGCAGAAGAAGCACCUCCUAACUACGCACCCGCAGCCGCUGUAA